rnacentral:rRNA from 1 species
AGAGUUUGAUCCUGGCUCAGAACGAACGCUGGCGGCGUGCUUAACACAUGCAAGUCGAACGAGAAAGUUUCUUCGGAAAUGAGUAAAGUGGCGCACGGGUGAGUAACGCGUAGAUAACCUGUCCAAGCGAUUGGGAUAGCCCUUCGAAAGGGGGAUUAAUACCGGAUACGUUGAUUGUUUUUAAGGGCAAUCAAGAAAGGCGGCCUCUAUUUAUAAGCUGUCGCGCAUGGAGGGGUCUGCGUACCAUUAGUUUGUUGGUGGGGUAAUGGCCUACCAAGACUACGAUGGUUAGCGGGUCUGAGAGGAUGAUCCGUCACACUGGCACUGAAACACGGGCCAGACUCCUACGGGAGGCAGCAGUGAGGAAUAUUGCGCAAUGGGGGGAACCCUGACGCAGCGACGCCGCGUGGGUGAGGAAGGCUUUCGGGUCGUAAAACCCUGUCAGAAGGGAAGAAGUGCUUGCAGGCUAAUACCUUGUAAGUUUGACGGUACCUUCAAAGGAAGCACCGGCUAACUCCGUGCCAGCAGCCGCGGUAAUACGGAGGGUGCAAGCGUUGUUCGGAAUCACUGGGCGUAAAGGGCGCGUAGGCGGCUUGGCAAGUCAGAUGUGAAAGCCCACGGCUUAACCGUGGAAGUGCAUUUGAAACUGCUUGGCUUGAGUAUCAGAGGGGAAAGUGGAAUUCCCGGUGUAGAGGUGAAAUUCGUAGAUAUCGGGAGGAAUACCGGUGGCGAAGGCGACUUUCUGGCUGAAUACUGACGCUGAGGCGCGAAAGCGUGGGGAGCAAACAGGAUUAGAUACCCUGGUAGUCCACGCCGUAAACGAUGUCAACUAGGUGCAGGGGGUGUUGAUCCCCUCUGUGUCGCAGCUAACGCAUUAAGUUGACCGCCUGGGGAGUACGGUCGCAAGAUUAAAACUCAAAGGAAUUGACGGGGGCCCGCACAAGCGGUGGAGUAUGUGGUUUAAUUCGAUGCAACGCGAGGAACCUUACCAGGGCUUGACAUGCUAGUGGUACGAACCUGAAAGGGUUAGGACCCUGGUUUUCCAGGGAGCUAGCACAGGUGUUGCAUGGCUGUCGUCCGUUCGUAUCGUGAGAUGUUGGGUUAAGUCCCGCAACGAGCGUAACCCUUAUCCUUAGUUGCUAACGCGUCAUGGCGAGGACUCUAAGGAGACUGCCGGUGUCAAACCGGAGGAGGGUGGGGAUGACGUCAAGUCAUCAUGGCCCUUACGCCCUGGGCUGGAAACAUGCUACAAUGGCCGGUACAAUGGGAUGCCAAGUCGCAAGACGGAGCGAAGCCCUAAAAGCCGGCCCCAGUUCGGAUCGGGGGCUGCAACUCGCCCCCGUGAAGUCGGAAUCGCUAGUAAUCGCGGAUCAGCUACGCCGCGGUGAAUAUGUGCCCGAGCCUUGUACACACCGCCCGUCAAGCCACGGGAGCUGGGAGCGCGCGAAGUCAUGGGUCCAACCUGUUUCGACAGGAGGGCACUGUGCCCACCGUGAAUCCAGCGACUGGGACUAAGUCGUAACAA